rnacentral:lncRNA from 1 species
GGAAAAGAGGUCACGUUUAGAAAGAAUAGAGAUUAAUCAUAAAGAACUAAGAUUAGAGUAAUAGAGAGAGAAAAUAAAGAUUUGUAUAUUAGUUCGCAACAUACUAUUGCUACAUCUUACAAUUCUAGUACAGAAAGAUUUUGCCUCAGUACAGUUGAUGACUUAAUCCGUUAUUUCAACAAUAGCAUACAAGUAUAUAUUGUUUACUCUGUCUCUUGUAAGUUUUGAGUAUUCUUCUCUAGACUUUCAUUAUUUGAACCUUUCUUCAACUAUUUGACAGACUGCCGUUGAAGUUCAUAAGUAUUAUUAUACCAAUUUAGGUACCUAUUAUGGAUGAAGGAAAUGUUGCCACUAUCAGACUGGUUUACACAAAUUCAAGUUUGUGUAUGAAUUGACACAACGUUUAUUUCUAGAAUUCUAACUUAUGGGUGUUACAUAUCAAAUCCUAU